rnacentral:misc_RNA from 1 species
GAUGAAGAACGCAGCGAAAUGCGAUAAGUAAUGAGAAUUGCAGAAUUCAGUGAAUCAUCGAAUCUUUGAACGCACAUUGCGCCCGCCAGUAUUCUGGCGGGCAUGCCUGUCCGAGCGUCAUUUCAACCCUCGAACCCCUCCGGGGGGUCGGCGUUGGGGACCUCGGGAGCCCCUAAGACGGGAUCCCGGCCCCGAAAUACAGUGGCGGUCUCGCCGCAGCCUCUCCUGCGCAGUAGUUUGCACAACUCGCACCGGGAGCGCGGCGCGUCCACGUCCGUAAAACACCCGACUUCUGAAAUGUUGACCUCGGAUCAGGUAGGAAUACCCGCUGAACUUAAGCAUAUCAAUAAGCGGAGGA